rnacentral:rRNA from 1 species
AUUGAACGCUGGCGGAAUGCUUUACACAUGCAAGUCGAACGGCAGCACGGGGGCAGCCCUGGUGGCGAGUGGCGAACGGGUGAGUAAUACAUCGGAACGUGCCCGGUCGUGGGGGAUAACGUAGCGAAAGUUACGCUAAUACCGCAUACGAUCUGAGGAUGAAAGCGGGGGACCUUCGGGCCUCGCGCGAUCGGAGCGGCCGAUGUCAGAUUAGGUAGUUGGUGGGGUAAAGGCCUACCAAGCCGACGAUCUGUAGCUGGUCUGAGAGGACGACCAGCCACACUGGGACUGAGACACGGCCCAGACUCCUACGGGAGGCAGCAGUGGGGAAUGUUGGACAAUGGGCGCAAGCCUGAUCCAGCCAUUCCGCGUGCAGGACGAGGGCCUUCGGGUUGUAAACUGCUUUUGUACGGAACGAAAAGGCUCUGGCUAAUACCUGGGGCUCAUGACGGUACCGUAAGAAUAAGCACCGGCUAACUACGUG